GACGAACGCUGGCGGCGUGCUUAAAACAUGCAAGUCGAACGGAGUGGCGAACGGGUGAGUAACACGUGGGUGACCUGCCAUGCACUUCGGGAUAAGCAUGGGAAACUGGGUCUAAUACCGGAUAGUGUGGGAUGGGCCAGCGGCCUGUCAGCUUGUUGGUGGGGUAAUGGACUACCAAGGCGGCGACGGGUAGACGGCCGGAGAGGGUGGACGGCCACAUUGGGACCGAGACACGGACCAGACUCCUACUGGAGGCAGGAGUGGGGAAUCUUGCACCAUGGGCGGAAGCCUGCUGCAGCGACGCCGCGUGGGGGAUGACGGCCUUCGGGUUGUAAACUCCUUUCACCAUCGACGCGGUAGAUGGAGAAGAAGCACCGGCUAACUACGUGCCAGCAGCCGCGGUAAUUC
rnacentral:rRNA from 1 species